UGGGGAAUAUUGCACAAUGGGCGCAAGCCUGAUGCAGCCAUGCCGCGUGUAUGAAGAAGGCCUUCGGGUUGUAAAGUACUUUCAGCGGGGAGGAAGGGCGUAAAGUUAAUACCUUUGCUCAUUGACGUUACCCGCAGAAGAAGCACCGGCUAACUCCGUGCCAGCAGCCGCUGUAAUACGGAGGGUGCAAGCGUUAAUCGGAAUUACUGGGCGUAAAGCGCACGCAGGCGGUUUGUUAAGUCAGAUGUGAAAUCCCCGGGCGCAACCUGGGAACUGCAGCUGAUACUGGGAAGCGUGAGUCUCGUAGAGGGGGGUAGAAUUCCAGGUGUAGCGGUGAAAUGCGUAGAGAUGUGGAGGAAUACCGGUGGCGAAGGCGGCCCCCUCGACGAAGACUGACGCUCAGGUGCGAAAGAGUGGGGAGCAAACAGG
rnacentral:rRNA from 1 species